rnacentral:misc_RNA from 1 species
UAGGCUGGUCAAUUAGAUUCUCUUUAUCGCGAUAUCUAAGCGGAAUUUAUAAAUGGCUCACCAGUCAUUACAAGUGUUUUUAUGCUCUGCUCGUCAACGCACGUUCAAUUGUUCCGUGAGCAUCUAGUUGCCUCGGGUGAAAAGAUCAUGUAUAUAUAGUUGUCAAGAAACANGUUGAAGGCCAACAAACGCGAUAAAAACACACUGAUCAAGACCACGAACAAAGGCACAAGGUAUCUCAAUGUUAUUACUAUCAAAAAAAGCAAUUUUUGAAAUGAAGGCGCUGUUGCUUCAUGGAAAAAGAUCAAUGACUGACACGCAUCCUCGAAAACACUUUUUGACAAAAAGUUACUACAGGGAAAACUAGAAGCUUUAGUGAAAAUCCUUUGUUGGAUUUAUUUUUUUGUUUAUUUAUUUUUUCUGCGAAUCCCAAUAUAUCAAUUUUUAGCUUUCCAAUCUUUAAACUAUGCAUACGAAAAUGAACUGAUAACAUCGACCCAGGAAUAAACCUGACGAUUUCUUUAUCAGCUUGCUCAAAGUUCUGAUGUGAAUGAAGCUGUAUUCAUUAAGUAGUGUGCGGUAUUAUUUGCUAAAAUAAACACAAAUACUGUUGUCUUUUUA